rnacentral:rRNA from 1 species
ACGUAGGGUGCGAGCGUUAAUCGGAAUAACUGGGCGUAAAGAGUGCGUAGGCGGAUAUUUAAGUUAGAUGUGAAAUGCCCGAGCUUAACUUGGGACUGGCAUGUAAUACUGGGUAUCUAGAGUUUGUCAGAGGGGGGUAGAAUUCCACGUGUAGCAGUGAAAUGCGUAGAGAUGUGGAGGAAUACCAAUGGCGAAGGCAGCCCCCUGGGAUAGAACUGACGCUGAGGCACGAAAGCGUGGGUAGCAAACAGG